CUGGAGCAAGUGUAUUUAACUGUGGAUCCUCAGAAAACACGCACCAGUGUUUUCAUACCUGCAGUAGAAGGUAACAACGUUUUUCUUCUCAAAAGUUGACUAAAAUUGCUCCCUGCUGCCCUUCUGGGGGAGAAAG